GAUGAACGCUAGCGAUAGGCCUAACACAUGCAAGUCGAGGGGCAUCACGGAGUAGCAAUACUUUGGUGGCGACCGGCGCACGGGUGAGUAACGCGUAUGCAAUCUACCUACAACAGGGGGAUAACCUGGAGAAAUCCGGACUAAUACCGCAUAACACAGGGGUCCCGCAUGGGAAUAUUUGUUAAAGAUUUAUCGGUUGUAGAUGAGCAUGCGUUCCAUUAGGUAGUUGGUGAGGUAACGGCCCACCAAGCCUGCGAUGGAUAGGGGAACUGGGAGGUUUGUCCCCCACACUGGAACUGAGACACGGACCAGACUCCUACGGGAGGCAGCAGUGGGGAAUAUUGGUCAAUGGGCGAGAGCCUGAACCAGCCAAAUCGCGUGAAGGAAGACUGCCUUAUGGGUUGUAAACUUCUUUUGUACAGGAAUAAAAAGAGGGACGUGUCCUUCAUUGCAUGUACUGUACGAAUAAGCAUCGGCUAACUCCGUGCCAGCCGCCGCAGUAA
rnacentral:rRNA from 1 species